AUGGAUCCUAGCAGUCACGAAAGCUUUAAAUCUAGAAUUGUUCAUUUCUUUGUCAGUGGGCAAACGUACAAAAACAGCAGGAGAUCAAAUACUUUUUUCCCCUCACUGUACACACACGACCUUACUCAACAUCAAACAUGCAAGCUUUCAAUGCAGUGUUUCUUCUUCAGUUUUUGUGGAAUUGCCAGCGGUUCCAUACAGAUGAGCUCAAUUGGCUGCUCAAGCAACAUGCUGCGAGCGGUACCUGGACCAGCGCCACCCCCACCACGAGGAUGAGCAGGGACAGCCACUUGUGGCCGCUCAGCUGCCGGUUGAGCAUGAACACGGAGAAGAGCGCUGUGGUGAGGAUCUUCAGCUGGGCCACUGCUGGCCUCGUCACCUGCAGCACGAGCGGCGAUCUUAACGGCAGCAGCAGCCACUUGUUCUGGAGGCUCGGCUCAAGGUGACUCGCUCACCGGGAACGGGACUCGGAACAUACGCCGCUCAGAAUACGGCAGAAUCUAAAUCAGACGUCCGUGAACACGGGUGACGAGCCGAGCCAGCUGCCGGGCUUAGCGCAGCAGUCACUUCGGCGGUGACAAGGAUGGCCGAGCGGGCGCCGCAAACGAGGACCCCACCGUGCUCGUAGCCGAUGAGGAGGACGCAGGUGGCUAUCUUGAGUAGCUCCGCGAGCACGACAGCCGUGGAGGCGAGGUAGCGCGGCCCGUCGAGCGGCAGCGUGCGCGAGUAGCGCAUGAUGAGCACCAGCCCCGUCGUCUGCAGCACCAGCACCCCCAGCGACAGGUGCUUCAGGCUCACCAUUGCCUCCCCUCUUUCCGGCUGCUGGUACGGCGACACGGCACAGCGGCAAUCAACCGUAAGCACGCAGACGACAACGGCAGCUGCCGUUCACCACGAGGUGGCUGUGAUGUCACCGGAGUGCCAGGCUAGGUGCACUUUGAAGCAAUUACGUGAAGUGUCAAAAGCUCUCUGGCAGAAAAAGGUCACGAGACAUACCCACAUGGUACUACUUGUCUGACUGAUGACCGACAGAUGCACCACCUGUGCUCUCCACUGUGCCAACUUUCUGCACUCUAGCCGCCCAAUGCUAAUAGAGACACACACACACAGCGGAGCUAGCCAUAUACAUGCAGAAACACAACAAUAAUACUUCCUCUCUAUAACCUAAAUAUAACUCACAACAACAAUAAAAACACCACAAGGAUUGGU